rnacentral:rRNA from 1 species
UUACUUCGGUACAUCCAAGACAGGUGGUGCAUGGUUGUCGUCAGCUCGUGUCGUGAGAUGUUGGGUUAAGUCCCGCAACGAGCGCAACCCUUAUCUUCAGUAGCCAGCAGGUAAAGCCGGGCACUCUGGAGAGACUGCCGGGGAUAACCCGGAGGAAGGUGGGGAUGACGUCAAAUCAUCAUGCCCCUUAUGAUUUGGGCUACACACGUGCUACAAUGGCGUAAACAGAGGGAAGCGAGCCCGCGAGGGGGAGCAAAUCCCAAAAAUAACGUCCCAGUUCGGAUUGUAGUCUGCAACCCGACUACAUGAAGCUGGAAUCGCUAGUAAUCGCGGAUCAGAAUGCCGCGGUGAAUACGUUCCCGGGUCUUGUACACACCGCCCGUCACACCAUGGGAGUCGGAAAUGCCCGAAGUCUGUGACCUAACCGCAAGGGAGGAGCAGCCGAAGGCAGGUCGGAUGACUGGGGUGAAGUCGUAACAAGGUAGCCGUAUCGGAAGG